GUGACUGCGGAGGUCAUU
rnacentral:rRNA from 1 species